rnacentral:rRNA from 1 species
AGUGGGGAAUCUUGCACAAUGGGGGAAACCCUGAUGCAGCGACGCCGCGUGAGCGAUGAAGCCCUUCGGGGUGUAAAGCUCUUUCGGCAGGGAAGAUGAUGACGGUACCUGCAGAAGCAGCUGCGGCUAACUACGUGCCAGCAGCCGCGGUAAUACGUAGGCAGCAAGCGUUGUUCGGAGUUACUGGGCGUAAAGGGUGUGUAGGCGGUUGUUUAAGUUUGGUGUGAAAUCUCCCGGCUCAACUGGGAGGGUGCGCCGAAUACUGAAUGACUUGGAGUGCGGGAGAGGAAAGUGGAAUUCCUGGUGUAGCGGUGAAAUGCGUAGAUAUCAGGAGGAACACCGGUGGUGUAGACGGCUUUCUGGACCGUAACUGACGCUGAGACACGAAAGCGUGGGUAGCAAA